UGUAAACGAUGUCGAUUUGGAGGUUGUUCCCUUGAGGAGUGGCUUCCGGAGCUAACGCGUUAAAUCGACCGCUGGGGAGUACGGCCGCAAGGUUAAAACUCAAAUGAAUUGACGGGGGCCCGCACAAGCGGUGGAGCAUGUGGUUUAAUUCGAUGCAACGCGAAGAACCUUACCUACUCUUGACAUCCAGAGAAUUUAGCAGAGAUGCUUUAGUGCCUUCGGGAACUCUGAGACAGGUGCUGCAUGGCUGUCGUCAGCUCGUGUUGUGAAAUGUUGGGUUAAGUCCCGCAACGAGCGCAACCCUUAUCCUUUGUUGCCAGCACAUUAUGGUGGGAACUCAAAGGAGACUGCCGGUGAUAAACCGGAGGAAGGUGGGGAUGACGUCAAGUCAUCAUGGCCCUUACGAGUAGGGCUACACACGUGCUACAAUGGCGUAUACAAAGAGAAGCGACCUCGCGAGAGCAAGCGGAACUCAUAAAGUACGUCGUAGUCUGGAUUGGAGUCUGCAACUCGACUCCAUGAAGUCGGAAUCGCUAGUAAUCGUAGAUCAGAAUGCUACGGUGAAUACGUUCCCGGGCCUUGUACACACCGCCCGUCACACCAUGGGAGUGGGUUGCAAAAGAAGUAGGUAGCUUAACCUUCGGGAGGGCGCUUACCACUUUGUGAUCCAUGACUGGGGUGAAGUCGUAACAAGGUAACCA
rnacentral:rRNA from 1 species